GCCCCCGGGUGGGUGGGGCCACGUUGCCCAGCAGUGGGCGGUGAUUGGCCCCGGGCGGUGCAUUCGCAGCUCGUGCGUCACGACGCCGCCAGCUGAUCGGAGCCUGGAGCCGGUGUGUGCUGGGUGCCGAGAAGAGACAGCGCCGCCGGCCGUGGGGAGCGGACGCAGUGAUUUGCUCCCCCUCGUGCAGCAACCCCCACACCCAGCACCAGGAGCCUGUUCCUCUCACGCCCUCACCUGGCUGAGCCGCAGUAGUUCUUCAGUGGCAAGCUUUAUGUCCUGACCCAGCUAAAGCUGCCAGUUGAAGAACUGUUGCCCUCUGCCCCUGGCUUCGAGGAGGAGGAGGAGCUGCUUUCCCCAUCAUCUGGAAGCAUCUCCCUCCAGCCCUCGCUAUGUGCCUCUGCCAUCUUCACCCAUCAUGGAGCAGAGGUGAGGAGAGGCAGCCUGGGAAUAUGGAGACCAGUGAAGGACCAGGCCUGGAGAGCACAGGGUCCUACCUGGGCAUCCAGCAGAGGAGCCCCUAAAGGCCAGGAGCACCCCAAGAGGAGGGAGGGCAGCCAGCCUCCAUUGACGGCGAGCCUCCAGCCCUCUCCUACUUGGAUCACCAUUUCUCUCCAGGCUUUCUGCCUCCGAGAUGUGGCACCAUAGUGCGGUGCCCUGUGGCUUCACCGCCCUACUUCCACCUCCGCCCAGCCUGUAAUGUUUAUAUAAGCAGCCUCAAGGACCAAGAACCAUCUGCGAAAGGACACACACAGGAAAUUCAUAAA
rnacentral:lncRNA from 1 species